UACAGAGGGGGCGAGCGUUGUUCGGAAUUACUGGGCGUAAAGGGCGCGUAGGCGGCCUUCUAAGUCGAACGUGAAAUCCCCGGGCUCAACCCGGGAACUGCGUCCGAUACUGGGAGGCUUGAAUCCGGGAGAGGGAUGUGGAAUUCCAGGUGUAGCGGUGAAAUGCGUAGAUAUCAGGAGGAACACCGGUGGCGAAGGCGGACCUCUGGACCAGUUCUGACACUGAUGAGCGAAAGCCAGGGGAGCAAACAGG
rnacentral:rRNA from 1 species